CAUAUUCAGUAUUGACAACUACAAGAUUAGUUUUUAAAGAAUCCUGACAACUACAGUUAGAUGUUUGUGUAUUAUUACACACCUAUAUAGUAUGUAAUUGGUGGUACCCUUCAUGCUGGCACAUAUAUAAAGGGUUCUCUUCUUAAGGAUUUUGACUAUUGAAUCAGCUUAUUUGCACUGACAAAUAUGACGGAACACAUAUAUUGAACAACUAAACAAAAACCGACAAACCUUAAGUUUUUACAGUUUACUAGAAUUCUGUAUGCAGUAUACAACAUGUGAAACAGA
rnacentral:lncRNA from 1 species